rnacentral:rRNA from 1 species
UACGGAGGGGGCUAGCGUUGUUCGGAAUUACUGGGCGUAAAGCGCACGUAGGCGGCUUUGCAAGUUAGAGGUGAAAGCCCGGGGCUCAACUCCGGAAUUGCCUUUAAAACUGCAUCGCUAGAAUUGUGGAGAGGUAAGUGGAAUUCCGAGUGUAGAGGUGAAAUUCGUAGAGAUUGGGAAGAACACCGGUGGCGAAGGCGGCUCACUGGACCGACAUUGACGCUGAGGCGCGAAAGCGUGGGGAGCAAACAGG